rnacentral:lncRNA from 1 species
AGUGACACGGGCACUUGUCCUUGAGCAAAAUUACCAGAAUCCAAACUGGCUCUGCCACCUCCUGGCUGUGGACCUGGGAUCUUUCCUACGUCUCUGUUUCUUCAUUUGUAAAAUGAGGCUGAUGGUAGUAACAGUGUCUACCUCUCCGGGUUGCCAAGAGAAUUACAUGAAUGAAGGCCUCAAAUACUUGAUAAGAACUCAAAAAGAAACCUCUCCGUGAAAAGCUGUAGAGGAUGAAGCAGUUAAUCCCACCACCUCUAGCUCAGGAUGAGAGAGCAACUCACACAUCCCUCUUAGAAGACCAAACUCUGGCCGGUUUUCUGCAUGCCUGAUGCUCCUUGCAGAAACAGAGCCAUCCUGCCUACCUCUGGAAUCCUGGGGCCUCAGGUGGUGCCCAGUCCACAGUAGGAACACAAUAGGAGAUGAGUGAGUAGGGAAGAAGUGAGCAGUUGGAUAUGGCAAGUUAGAAACAGUCCAGCCUCCAGUGGGGCACUCUGCUUACCUACACUUAGGUAAACCCAAAUCCUCAAAGCUCACAAGGCCUUGAAAACUCCCAAUUCCAUGAAUCCUGAUUACAAACAACCCGGAGGAACCAUUUAGCUCCCCGAAGACCAACAGAAUCUGUGUGCAAUGUGGGAGGAGAGAAACUCCGGAGCGUGGCCCAGGAAGACAGGUGGCAACCCUAGAAAUGCUGCAAUGCCUGUUGAAGCCCCUUCCCCCUGAACUGGCCGACAAUUUUCCUUCCAUAUACAUUAAAA